GGGGUGCAGCAGGCGCGAAAACUUCACACUGCGCGAAAGCGCGAUGAGGGAAUCCCAAGUGUAUGCACGUAAGCGUAUUCUGUUUCUAUGUAUAAAAAGCAUAGAGAAUAAGGGCUGGGUAAGACGGGUNCCAGCCGCCGCGGUAAUACCUGCAGCUCAAGUGGUGGCCGCUUUUAUUGGGCCUAAAACGUCCGUAGCCGGUCUUAUAAAUGCCUGGGUAAAUCGUACGUCUUAACCGUACGAAUUCUUGGUAGACUGUNAGACUUGAGACCGGGAGAGGUUAGAGGUACUCCUGGGGUAGAGGUGAAAUUCUGUAAUCCUAGGGGGACCACCAGUGGCGAAGGCGUCUAACUAGAACGGGUCUGACGGUGAGGGACGAAGCCCUGGGGCGCAAACCGGAUUAGAUACCCGGGUAGUCCAGGCGUGUAAACGCUGCUUGCUUGAUGUUAGUCGGGCUCCGAGCCCGAUUAGUGUCGUAGGAAAGAUGUUAAGCAAGCUGCCUGGAAG
rnacentral:rRNA from 1 species